ACGCUGGCGGCACGCCUAACACAUGCAAGUCGAACGAAGUAGCAAUACUUAGUGGCAGACGGGUGAGUAACAUGUAGGUAUCUGCCCUUUGGCCUGGAAUAACACGAGGAAACUUGUGCUAAUACCGGAUAAGUCUUUACGGAGAAAGCUUUAUGCACCAUUGGAUGAGCCUGCACUUGAUUAGUUUGUUGGUAGGGUAAUGGCCUACCAAGACUAUGAUCAAUAGCUGAUUUGAGAGGAUGAUCAGCCACAUUGGGACUGAGACACGGCCCAAACUCCUACGGGAGGCAGCAGUGGGGAAUCUUGCACAAUGGAGGAAACUCUGAUGCAGCGAUGCCGCGUGAGUGAAGAAGGCCUUUGGGUUGUAAAGCUCUUUCGUCGGGGAAGAAAAUGACUGUACCCGAAUAAGAAGGUCCGGCUAACUUCGUGCCAGCAGCCGCGGUAAUACGAAGGGACCUAGCGUAGUUCGGAAUUACUGGGCUUAAAGAGUUCGUAGGUGGUUAAAAAAGUUGGUGGUGAAAUCCCAGAGCUUAACUCUGGAACUGCCAUCAAAACUUUUUAGCUAGAGUAUGAUAGAGGAAAGCAGAAUUUCUAGUGUAGAGGUGAAAUUCGUAGAUAUUAGAAAGAAUACCGAUUGCGAAGGCAGCUUUCUGGAUCAUUACUGACACUGAGGAACGAAAGCAUGGGUAGCGAAGAGGAUUAGAUACCCUCGUAGUCCAUGCCGUAAACGAUGUGUGUUAGACGUUGGAAAUUUAUUUUCAGUGUCGCAGCGAAAGCGAUAAACACACCGCCUGGGGAGUACGACCGCAAGGUUAAAACUCAAAUGAAUUGACGGGGACCCGCACAAGUAGUGGGGCAUGUGGUUUAAUUCGAAGAUACGCGCAGAACCUUACCAACACUUGACAUGUUCGUCGCGACUCUAAGAGAUUAGAGUUUUCGGUUCGGCCGGACGAAACACAGGUGCUGCAUGGCUGUCGUCAGCUCGUGUCGUGAGAUGUUGGGUUAAGUCCCGCAACGAGCGCAACCCUCACUUUUAGUUGCCAUCAUUAAGUUGGGCACUCUGAAAGAACUGCCAGUGAUAAGCUGGAGGAAGGUGGGGAUGACGUCAAGUCCUCAUGGCCCUUACGUGUUGGGCUACACACGUGCUACAAUGGUAUCUACAACAGGAAGCAAAACAGCGAUGUUAAGCAAAUCCCGAAAAGAUACCUCAGUUCGGAUUGCACUCUGCAACUCGAGUGCAUGAAGCUGGAAUUACUAGUAAUCGUGGAUCAGCGUGCCACGGUGAAUGCGUUCCCGGGUCUUGUACUCACCG
rnacentral:rRNA from 1 species